CGGACGGAAGUUAAAAAAAAGUCACCGUUGCAAAUUGUUGAAAGCCAAGCGCUUGCCGCCAGACUUGCCCGCAGUUGCUCAACCGGUUUCCUGACCGGCGUCUCUUCUGCGGCCGGCCCUCUCCAGUUCGGUCGGUCGUAUAAAGCCCUUGCGAAUGUCCCUCCUUUCGGGGAGUGUUAUAGCCCAGGCUGGAAUGCCUCCACCCUGCACUGUGGAUCUCGUUUCCCUACCAU
rnacentral:rRNA from 1 species